AUCGUAUAGCAAAGAUGAGUUGAACGAAGUACGAUCAGAAUGGGUAAUGCUGGUCACUCAGUUGAUACUCUCUUCUGUUUGAAGGCUUUGAAGACACUUUUUUGUAUGGAAAUAGAUCAUACUUUUGCCCAAUCCAACUAUCACUUUUGUUGAGGCAUCCAAAGGGAAACUUUUUGAAGCUGAAAGUUGGAAGUUUUUCCAAGUUUCUAAUAGUUCAUGAGCUACUGCCACAAAAAAGAAUGUUCUUGUUGGUUCAAAAGGGAACAUGAAGAUUUCUAAUUUUGGCCAUGGUGUUAUACCACAACAUUGUAAG